AGAUUAUGGGGUUGAUAGGCCGGAUCUGGAAGCACAGUAAUGUGUGGAGGUGACCGGUACUAAUUUACCAACA
rnacentral:rRNA from 1 species